rnacentral:rRNA from 1 species
CGGCCCCGGCCGCUGAGUGAAGAAGGUUUUCGGAUCGUAAAGCUCUGUUGUUGGUGAAGAAGGAUAGAGGCAGUAACUGGUCUUUAUUUGACGGUAAUCAACCAGAAAGUCACGGCUAACUACGUGCCAGCAGCCGCGGUAAUACGUAGGUGGCAAGCGUUGUCCGGAUUUAUUGGGCGUAAAGCGAGCGCAGGCGGAAUGAUAAGUCUGAUGUGAAAGCCCACGGCUCAACCGUGGAACUGCAUCGGAAACUGUCAUUCUUGAGUGCAGAAGAGGAGAGUGGAACUCCAUGUGUAGCGGUGAAAUA